AGCGAACGCUGGCGGCAGGCUUAACACAUGCAAGUCGAGCGGGCGUAGCAAUACGUCAGCGGCAGACGGGUGAGUAACGCGUGGGAACGUACCUUUUGGUUCGGAACAACACAGGGAAACUUGUGCUAAUACCGGAUAAGCCCUUACGGGGAAAGAUUUAUCGCCGAAAGAUCGGCCCGCGUCUGAUUAGCUAGUUGGUGAGGUAACGGCUCACCAAGGCGACGAUCAGUAGCUGGUCUGAGAGGAUGAUCAGCCACAUUGGGACUGAGACACGGCCCAAACUCCUACGGGAGGCAGCAGUGGGGAAUAUUGGACAAUGGGGGCAACCCUGAUCCAGCCAUGCCGCGUGAGUGAUGAAGGCCAUAGGGUUGUAAAGCUCUUUUGUGCGGGAAGAUAAUGACGGUACCGCAAGAAUAAGCCCCGGCUAACUUCGUG
rnacentral:rRNA from 1 species